rnacentral:rRNA from 1 species
UACGGGGUGCAGCAGGCGCGAAAACUAACAAUGCUGGCAACAGCGAUAAGGGAACCUCGAGUGCCAGGUUACAAAUCUGGCUGUCGAGAUGCCUAAAAAGCAUUUCAUAGCAAGGGCCGGGCAAGACCGGUGCCAGCCGCCGCGGUAACACCGGCGGCUCGAGUGGUAACCGUUAUUAUUGGGUCUAAAGGGUCUGUAGCCGGCCGGAUAAGUCUCUUGAGAAAUCUGGCAGCUUAACUGUCAGGCUUUCAGGAGAUACUGUUUGGCUAGAGGCCGGGAGAGGUGAGAGGUACUUCAGGGGUAGGGGUGAAAUCUUGUAAUCCUUGAAGGACCACCAGUGGCGAAGGCGUCUCACCAGAACGGACCUGACGGCAAGGGACGAAAGCUAGGGGCACGAACCGGAUUAGAUACCCGGGUAGUCCUAGCCGUAAACGAUACUCGUUAGGUGUCGGCCACGGUGCGACCGUUGUCGGUGCCGAAGGGAAGCCGUGAAACGAGCCACCUGGGGAGUACGGUCGCAAGGCUGAAACUUAAAGGAAUUGGCGGGGGAGCACCACAACGGGUGGAGCUUGCGGUUUAAUUGGAUUCAACGCCGGAAAUCUUAC